AGUACAAGUCAUGACAUCAGA
rnacentral:miRNA from 1 species